rnacentral:rRNA from 1 species
AGGAGAGCGUCCCAUGCGGGGCGAAGCGGCGGCGCAAGCCCGCCGUGGACCGCAUGGGAGUGAGAAUGCAGACAUGAGUAGCGAAAGACGGGUGAAGAUCCCGUCCGCUGGACGACCAAGGGUUCCAGGGCCACGUUCAUCGUCCCUGGGUGAGUCGGGUCCUAAGGCGAGGCCGACAGGCGUAGUCGAAUGGAUGAACGGGUCGAUAUUCCCGUACCGGCAUGCAACCGACAAAACCGAAUCCGCGAGUACUAACCUCCGGGUCCGGGCUUACGUCUCCUUCGGGAGCCGGAUGCCCUGGCCUGUUGGGACCGUAACGGUAGUAGGUCAGCGCGGGAGUGACGCAGAAGGGUAGCCGGCCGCGGAGGUGGUCUUCCGUGGUCAAGCACGCAGCCCGUCCCACAGGCAAAUCCGUGGGGCGCGUGGGCGAGGUGCGAUGAUGGGCGCCGCAGGGCGCGAUAUCCGGUGAUCCCGGCUGCCGAGAAAAGCUUCGGCGUGAGGCGGCGUGCCGCCCGUACCCCAAACCGACACUGGUGGUCAGGUAGAGAAUACCAAAGCGAUCGAGCGAAUCCUGGUCAAGGAACUCGGCAAAUCACUCCCGUUCCUUCGGUUUAAGGGAGACCCCCGAUGGUGAAGCGGCUUGCCCGUGGAGCUUUUGGGGGUGGCACAGACCAGGGGGUAGCGACUGUUUACCAAAAACACAGGAGCGUGCGAAGGCGCAAGCCGCUGUAUACGCUCUGACGCCUGCCCGGUGCCGGAAGGUUAAGAGGAUCCGUCAGGCUUCGGCCGAAGCGGUGAAUUCAAGCCCCGGUAAACGGCGGUGGUAACUAUAACCAUCCUAAGGUAGCGAAAUUCCUUGUCGGGUAAGUUCCGACCUGCACGAAUGGCGUAACGACUUCCCCACUGUCUCGACCAGGAGCUCGGCGAAAUUGCAGUACGAGUAAAGAUGCUCGUUAAGCGCAGAAGGACGAAAAGACCCCGGGACCUUUACUAUACCUUGGUAUUGGCAUUCGGUGUGGAUUGUGUAGCAUAGGCGGAAGGCUUCGAAGCCACGGCGCCAGCCGCGGUGGAGCCGCAAGGUGAAAUACCGCUCUGUUCGCAUUGGAUGUCUAACCUCGACCAGUCAUCCUGGUCAGGGACAGUGCCUGGCGGGUAGUUUAACUGGGGCGGUUGCCUCCCAAAGAGUAACGGAGGCGCUCAAAGGUUCCCUCAGCCCGGUUGGCAAUCGGGUGGCGAGUGUAAGUGCACAAGGGAGCUUGACUGCGAGACUGACGGGUCGAGCAGGGACGAAAGUCGGAACUAGUGAUCCGGUGCCGGUGUACGGACGCGGCAUC